ensembl:snRNA U6 U6 spliceosomal RNA
AGGCUUACUUCAGCAGCAUAUAUACGAAAACGGGAGUGAUACAGAGAUUAGCAUGGUCCCUACAUACAGACAACAUACAAAUUCAGAGAAGCGUUCCCUUAAAAA